CUCCCAGCACAGAGUUGGGAGCAACUCCAGAGCCUCCUUCAAGAUGCUGCUGAUUUUGCUGUCAGUGACCCUGCUGGCCUUGAGUCCAACUCGGAGCUUAAGUGAAGAUGUGAUCCAGGAAGACUCUCCUUCCCUAAAAUCAGGAAAGCCAGAAGGACCACCCCCACAAGGAGGCAACC